rnacentral:lncRNA from 1 species
UUUUUUUUUUUUUGAAAGGUUUGUUUUGGAUAGUUGACGGUAAUAUCCCAGUUUUCUGACUUGAGGGGGUGAUGUGGCCGAAACUGGGUACUUCAUAGGGUAUCUAUACUUUUUUUUAUUUCGUGUAGGCGUGGCCUAUAAUUCACAAGAUAAUUUAAACAUUUUCUUUCUGAAUCUCCAAUACACGAGGGAUAGAGUGGAAGUCAGCGCCACAUUCAGUUUUAGUGUCGGCGCAUUCAGUUGAUCAGGUUCAGUUACUUGUUCCUUUGUGAUUCAGUCUUCCCGUUUUUUGUUCCUUUGUUCAGUCCCUGUAGCUGGAAAAUUACAGAUGAUAUGAAGCUUUCCAUUCUUCCAUGAUACAGGCUUCCGAGAGCCCUUGGAUCUGAGAUCGAAUGGUUGCAUGGCGUGAUUCUAGACCUACGGGUGUAUCAUUUUUCAGCCACUUUGUUAUUCACUGUGGUUUCGUUCCUCUGUUCAGUCACUGUGGUUGCAUCAUUUUUCAGUCUCUUGAGCCUCUCUUUCCUUCAGUUUUUCAGUUUUCCAGUUUCUUCUGUUUGUUUGAUCUUUUCUAGUCCUCAGCCGCUUAGUUGAAUCACACUUUUACCCCUCUUUCUUUAGCUUCUCAGUGUACCUAAUUUGCUUAACUUCUUUCCUAACUGUCUCAUUUUCGUUUUUUACUCUUUAAUCCUUUGUUAAUUCUUUGUCUUUGCCAUUGAUCAUUCUUUCUCCGGUCGCUGUUUCUUAUCUCUUCAAUCUUCAUUUCUCUUUUUCUUAGUCCUCAAUAUCUCUUUGGUUGGUUGGUCUUCACUCUUCAUAUAAGCAGAUAGUGAUCUGUUGGCACGUCUCCUCCCCUCCCUCGUGUCGCCCCACUCGGGCGACCCGAGGGGUGAAACCCUAACCCCGCCGCCUCCCUUCCCUCGCCGCCGCCCGAGGCAGCUGACGCCGAGCAAGCUUGGUGCGCCGUCGAUGAAGGUGGCGACGGGGCCCUCGCCUCCUCGCCUCGCCCGUGGGGGGACUCUGGAUCUGGGGCGGCGGCCCCGGCUGGUGUGGAGUCGCGGGCUUCGGCAUCCGGUGGCGCGGGCGUGAGUCGGCUGUUCUUAGCCGUGUGGACGGCGAGAUCCCCGAAGACUGCGGGCCAGCUCGCGGCAGUAUCGUCAGCUCCAACUGCGUCAGACCUAGCCGUCCCCUCUGCCCUUCUUCUCCAGCGAGCUCCUCCCCCCCUCCCAGAUCCGAUCUGCCUCGUCAUGGGGUCCCGGUCUGCUUCGGGUGGGAGCGGGUGUCAGGAUGCAGGACCGGGGGAAACCCCCAGCCAGCCAUGCCAGCGGCGACGCCCGUGGGCGCGGCGCACCUUCCCGAAGGCGUCGUUUAGGUCUUGCCCCCCAUCCCCUUCCCCUUUGUCUCCCAGGAGAAAUCCUCAAUUUUGUUGGGCAGCGGCGACGCCCUUGGCGCUGUAACCUUCUUGAAGGCGCUGUUUUGGGAACAAAGAUGGGUUGUGGGCUUCGUUGUGGUGUAGGUGGAGUGUAUCGGCGGCGGCAGCAUGCGUCCAGCGGUGGCGGUGUCUCCCUUGGUGCUGGGUCAAGUUGUUUUGGUGCUCUUCGACGGGCUGCAGUUUAUUCCUCCGAUGCCCUUGGAUCUUCCAGGACGGGAGGGGAUAGGGUUCCCCUCCUACGGUGGCUGCACUACAGGUCGUCGAGCGAGCCGAAGCUCCCAAUUUGGUCUUUGCCCUUGCUGUUGCCCAAUUGUGCAUUCUGAUCGCUCGCCCUCUUCCAAGUCAGAACUACGGCAUAUGGUGUUGCUCUGCUCUAGGUGAGUCGUCGUUGGCAUGUCGGGAAUGCCUGGUUCCGCCCAAGUGGUUUCUUCGAGGCCAUCCAUCCAGGCUCUAAGCAUGUCCAUCGCUUAACGGUGUGAUGCCUUCGAGCCAGGCGAGGAGGCAGGGGUCUUCUUUGACGAUGGAUCUGGAUGGAUGUGUCUUUCUUCAAGCCCAGGUGUUUUGGCAACGGCGUGCCUUGCAUCGUCGUCGGUGCACUCUCCUGACCAGGAUAUCGCUUUGGCCUUGGUUUUCGGCGUGCAAGAGGUUAAUGGCAUCUCCAAGCUAUAUGUUCUACGCCAAUCUUUCUAACUAGCUUGUUGUAUGUGCAUUGUGAGCUGUUCCCUGACGCCCUUGUAUCUUUGCCGUCUAUCUUCUUUUCUUUAGUUGAUGAGUGGUGUAAUUUGAAGUUGAAAUCCUGGCCGGUUGGUGGCUUUGUUAAUUUAUAAAGCCGGGUUCUGCUUGAGCCUUCGUUCUAAAAUAUAUAUAAGCAGAUGGUAAACAUGUGUUUUUUAGGUGAAUGGCCCAUUAUUUCUCUCUUUUUCUUCACUCUUCACUAUUUUUCUUAGUUUUCAGUCCUUCUCUUUGGUUAUUCUUCACUCUCCAUUUAGUUCAGUCACUGUUUUUUGGACUUGACACGCAGAAAAUCCCAAAGGAAGUAGCCCCAAACUUGACAUCCCGGAGAGCGGGCCACCGACACAAGGGCCGAGCACGGCACUGCAGGCGAUGACUGCAUCACUUCAAGCAGAGUUUGGAAGGAGUUUCUCCUCAAGACAGAUCUCACGAUAGAAACUCACGUUCUAGUUACGUUCCACUCUGUUGCAAACAAGCGUCGGGUGUCGGUAGUUUUCAAUUGUCCUCUAAAGAAUGUAGAGUGUUCAAUCUAGCUAUCUGGUAUCGUGGCGCAAACUUGUUUGCUGACUGUUGUGGGCGUGCUACGGGAAUCUAAUCCUGUGUGUGCGCGAUUACGUAGAUCAGUUUCUCGUGCCUGGCACCUACCUCCUUUUUUUUCUUCCUUUGUUGCCUGUCUUUCUGUGUGUUUUAAGAUUAUUAUCUCCGAUGGUUAAACAACAUCAUUCGAGACCUGAGGUGCAGGUAUGUUUCCCUGCUGUGCUAUUUCCCUCUCGUUCUAUUCAUUUUAAACAAUAUCACUUUGGAACAUGACAGCGUGCUAACAGCUACUCCCUCCGUUCCGAAUUACUUGUCGCAGGUUGGAUGUAUUUAGAUGUAUUUUAGUUUUAAAUACAUCUAUUUCUAUAACGAGUAAUUUAGAACGAAGGGAAUAGAACAUGACAGCAGUCUCCAAUAGACCUAUUCAUGAAUGGCCCAAUAUUCAUUUGCUGUUUGUUCUUUUAUUCAUUACCAUUUGAUUUCUUCUAGGGAACUUCACUGCCGUUUGAUGGGAGCCAUGACAUUCAUCACAAAUAGAUGGGAUUACCAGGCAAAACCUCGCUAAUAAGGCCCAUGAACACUUUAGGGCAACUCCAAUGGCCGACCCAUUUAGUUGGGUUGUGUCCGUUUGAGUCCGCACCACGCAAACACAUAUUUUAUCUGCUUUUUAUGUCCACGUGAAUGCAUUUUUGCCUUAAAUUUGGACUCGAUUUGCGUCCAUAUGUGUGUCCGCUUAGUGUUCGUCUUGGACCUGCAUGCUGCCGCCCAACCACCACCUACCGGUCCUAUUUUAUUUCACGCGUGCGCUUGGGCCCACACAUCAGCCACAGAAGCCAGUCCAUGCUUGUCCUUUUUAAUGCCACACGUGUAGUGGGAGGGGGGCGCCCAGUCCACUUCCUCAACAACCAUCUUCCGUCUUCUUCUUCGUGCCCCCUUGGUCGAUUCCUCGUUGGUGUGCCGCGCAGCUAACUUCAGCAUGUCGUCGCGCCAUGCUUGAGCCGCCGACAUGCCUUCCUCUCUACGUCUUUGUCCACCGCUGCAAGUACUUCUGGGAGCAUGGCGUGCCGAUGUGGUGGCCCGACGUGAACCUGAUGAACGGGUGGCAUCUCAAGCACGACAGGGUUCCGGUGCCGGUCUCAGACGCGCGCGGCUGGCAAAGAUCCGCCGCCAUCAUGCUCAACUCCCGGUUGAGCUCCGCCAUGACCCAGCGUACACAGUGGACUCACCGAACUGGGACGCGUGGUUCACCUCUAAGCAUGACUUGCACCGCCAAUUAAGCUUCAAGGGUGCGCCCCGUGCACCGCACGAGCUUGCCGCUCCACCACCACCGUUGGUGGUGUAGGAGGAGGAUCGGGCGGUCGAGGAUCCCUACAUUACGGACCUCGAGGAGGCCACAAGGAGGGCCAUUGAGAAGUCCGAGCACGAGGAGCUCGCCAGGUGGCCUGCCUUUCGCAAAUGUUGGCCGAAUUGGCGGCUAGAGUGGAGGCGAACGCGCCCUCACUCCUACCAAACCCGCCCGCGUCCGAGCCAGUGGAGGAGUGGUGGGAGCUGGAGCACCAAUCUUGCUUGUGGACAAGCACGGUGCCCUGCUCGCCCAUGCACGUGGCGUGCACGCCUGUGUGGUUGGGCGCGUCCGAGGAAGAGGUCAAGCGGCACGCGUUGGCUAAGCAGCAAACGCCGGCAACAUUCCAGGAGGCCUUUUCGUGGAUGGAGGUGCCGGUCUUCUUGGUCCUAACCAAAGAGGAUGACGACGACGACGCAUAGUUUUUAUUUUUCUAGUUUAAAUUAAUGUAAGACUUGACUUGCUGGCUGUUUUUUAUAAUUCGAAUUUGCGUCCAAAUGUACAAUGUGUCUGUUCACGUUGGCCGCAUUUAUGAGCCGGCGGACAAAACCAACUCUGGAAAAAAAAGAGGAUAAAAUCCGCAUUCAUUUGGGUCUCUCGUUGGAGUUCCCUUGCAAUAUACUCCCUCCAUUUCAAAUUACUUGCCGCGUGUAUGGAUGUAUCUAGAUGUAUUUUAGUUCUAGAUACAUUCAUUUCAGCGAGUAAUUUGGAACGAAGGGAGUAACAUCAACCACGCGGAGCCGGUGUUGCACUAGCUGCAUGGAAGCCCCCUUGCGGCGCCGUCCCUCCCCCUUGCAUCGUCCCAUGUCGCGGUCACAACAUCGCUCCUCACCUGUCGCAGCAGCCGCGCACCUUUGCCGUAGCCGCCCCACCUCGUCCUCGUGUUCGCUCGUCAUCGGUGCGCCCGCCGGUUCGCAACGUCCUCGCUCGUCCGCUUGCAGUGCUGGCCCACAAGGGAGACGCGUGCGGGUGUGGGAGCGACCGCUCGCACGCUGCGAUCGACCACCCAAUUCUAGCCGUUUACUAUUUGCCUUCUCUUCUCUUAGUACGCUGCUCUGUAGAAAGAAAAAAAAUAACGGCCUCAAUGCUAAGAGGCGUAGCAAGAUGACUCGUGACUGUCUGAAUCGGAGAGGAGUGCUGGAGGUGAACAGAUAUGAAAUAUCGUUAGGACUCCGACAGACCUACUUCUGCGCCCAUUUCAUUUCGCCUCUCAAAUUUCGAUUCGACAGUGGUGCGGAGUUCUGCGAACAGACAUCGUACGUUAUUACGACUGCCUACGCGUGUACCCCGCUACAAAGGGGGCGGGACAAAACCUUCGAUGGUGUAAUAGUUACGAUAACUAGGUCCCAACAUUGAAGUUGCCACCAAUCCAUUGUCGUCCAGCGGUUAGGAUACCUGGCUUUCACCCAGGCGACCCGGGUUCGAUUCCCGGCAAUGGAAUUUUUAUUUCCAUUGAAACAUUUGUUCCUUCGGGUGUCCUUUUCCUUUCCUGAUUAUUCUCUAGAGCAGCAGUGGUAUCUUUUAUUUAUUUGUUGCAAAAAAUACUUCGUAGCUUUUUUCAGCAAUUUGUUCUUCAAAAAUUUUAUCAGAGCUACCAACGAUCCGAAUUUUAUUAGAGUUGCCGAGAAUUCUUUGUUUAUAAUGUGCUUACAGUUAGCACACGACACUUGACAGCAGUCUCUCAGUACAACUAGCUGAUGCUAUCGCAAAAAAAAAAAGUACAACUAGCUGAUGGAUCAGGACUCGGCAUUUGCUCAAUAUUCAUCCUUCGAAUCAGGACUCGGCAUUUGCUCAAUAUUCAUCCUCCGUUUACAUUCUUAUUGACGGGAGCGAUAAAACUGAUCAGAAUUCAUCGGAAUCUCCAGGCAAAAAUACCUUGCUACGAAGGCACAUUAAGACUUUACAAUGCAGUAUCCUCCUUCCAACACCAGCUAAAAACUUCCAAUUUCCAUCCCAGAUGCAAAAUACUGAAGCGUGCCACUCAAACUACAGAAGACUAAUACAAUACAGACUCGCUGUAGACUAGUAAGUACAGUAGUGAUAACCACAAUGACAGCUGAGCUGUGUAACGGGCCAAAGGAAUGGAUGAAUAAGGCAAACUGCCACUGUUCAUGUGCAAGAAAAUAUGACGGACAUUUAAAAGAAAAAUGCCGGACAGGCGACGGGUAGAUGACCCCGCAGAGGCUCUUAGACCUAGGACCAUAUGCAGGCAAAAGCUUUGGAACCGGUGUUUAGUUUGCUGUGAUAGUUCGCUGUGCAGAGCGGUUGAUUAACCCCAUUUGACGAUAGCCGAACCCCAGAUGAGUCCAGCUCCGAAGCCAGAUGCUGCGAUGACGUCGCCCGCCUUCACCUUCCCGCCACGAACAGCCUCGUCCAGUGCUAAUGGAAUGGAUGCCGCACUGGUGUUGCCGUAAUUAGCAAGGUUUGAGAUGACUUUUUCCGAUGGGAUAGAUAACCGACUGGCAGCAGCAUCGAUGAUCCGCUGGUUAGCCUGCAAAACAUCGAUGGGGUCAGUUAGAUCGAUGCUUCAGGUCAAAGAGUUUCAUGGUCGAUAGGCUAGGAUACUCACUUGGUGAAGCAACAGCCAAUCUAUACUGGAGGCAGGUAGGCCGGCCUCCUCUAGCGCCUUCUCGAUGGACUGUGGGACACAACGUACAGCAAAGCGGAAAACCUCCUUUCCGUUCAUUUCGAUGCAAGAAAAGUUGGUCUUCUUCGGUGGGAAGCCAGGGACACCAUUGGUCUUGGAUAAGAUUGAGUCAGCGUUCGAUGAUGAACAAUGCAGGUGCCUACAUAAGUAUAAUCAACAAACAUAAGAAAGUGACCUACUAGAAAUGUAACCUCAACACUUUCUAGAAAGAAGGCAUACUUUUGCCCAUGGCCAUCGCUUUGCACACAAAAACCUAGCAAGCCAUCUUCAUCAGCAUUGCAUGACUGCAAUAUCGAGGAUUUAAAAUUAGACAAAAGAACUUGCACAAGGAUCUUGCAAAUUACAAUGCCACGCUACCACCGAACACCUCAUACCUGUACUACAACAAAUUGCAGUGUCUUACCCAAUAGACUGUACAGAAAGACUACAGCCAACUGAACCAUGGAAAGCAGACCAACAUUUCAGCAAAAAAGAACAGAUACCUGGACCAAAACAGCACCAGCAGCAUCGCCAAAGAGGAUGCAUGUACCUCUAUCUGUCCAAUCCACAUAUUGCGAAAGAGCAUCUGCCCCAACUACAAGGACAUUUUGAAUACCUCCACCUACAAUAGUGGCAGAUAAUAAAUUAUUAAUCCACCAAGGCGCUCAAUAGCAACCCAUUGUGAAUAUUUAACAAGGGAAUUACCUUUGAUAAAACGAGUAGCUGUAAUUAAACCAACAAUGAACCCACUACAGGCAGCAGUGAUAUCAAAGCCAAAUGCAUUUGUGCACCCCACCUCCGCCAGCACCUGUUUUCAUUUUAUCUUGAUGUUAUUUAUGCAAAAAUGGGCAUAUAAAAUGCAUAAAGCACUAGAGCAGAGUGGCACCGAUGAUUAGAACAACUAAUUUACUGAUAGUACAAAACAUUAACAGUACUACUAAACAGGGAAAAAAAUUGAAUGAAAAUACAAAAAUGGAAAGACCAUUACAUAGUUCAUAUUAUUUGAUGACUACGUUAUUAUCAAAUAUAGGCUGCUCCACAAAGUAUGCCAGUGAAACAUUUUUAGUUUUGACUAUCAAAUAUAGAUAUGUAAUAACUUCGAAGUACCAAUAUAGUCAUCACAAAUGAAACAUACUAUCAUCAUCUAUAUUCAUUAUCAUGCAUUACAACAUACUUCCAUAGAAAUCACUUUUCUCUGUUCUAAAUACAUCCCAUUCUAGCUUCUGGAUUUUUGUUCCGAAAUACAUGCCAAUUUACAAGUUUGAGGCAACUACUGCGGUACUGCCAUUGUUUGCUUCGCAUAUCCCUAACAUUCAUUAAUAUACUAGAUUAACACAUAACAUCCAACAUUCAUAAUGAGCUAAUUAUGGAUGCAAAUGUAAUGUGUCGUAUACAUGCCUUAGUUGGAGUGCCCUAAAUUACAGCCAUUCAGGAACAGAGGGAGUAUUGUUCAAAGACUGAAAGCAGUACUUUGGAGACUAUCAGUACUGAAGUGAAAAAAUUUACUGACAGAGAGUAUUACAAUUUAAAAAGAAAUUCCUCAGAUAAAUUAACAAUAAGAUAGUACCAUUUCUACCCCAACUUAUGAUAUACAGUAAAUAAAAAGGAAAAUAUUCUCAAGCAUGAGAUGACUCGCAUUAAAAGCAGGAAUAUGCAGUCGCUCAGACAUAUCAUUGUUUUAAAUAACAUAAGUAGUUUGCAUAUAAGUAUGACAACUACUGUAUUCUUGAGAAAAGACAGGGAUGGCAACUACUAGAAUGAUUUAAUAGAUGUGCAUAGCCAUACCCGACCAGCACCGCCAAAGAGAUCGUCUGGAGUAGAUGUGCAAAAGAGAACAAGGUCAACAUCUUCAGGUCUUACUUGGGCCAUCUCAAGUGCCCUUUGUGCUGCCUUUACUGAAAGCCCUCCCAGUGUUUCGCCUCCUAACACAUUUGAAAAGAACAAAUUACUCCUGAAACAUAAACAAAUGAAAUAUGUCUCCAAAACGGAAUUGUUGCGACUCCUAAGCUUUCUUCCACAAAAUCUGAUACUCUGUUACCUGCCUACUUACACACAGUGGGGCCAACUCCCAAUGAUGUUAUUGAAACGUCUUAUAAUUAGAUAUGUACAUUGACUUAAAAAACAUGUGAAAAGCGCUGCGUUUAUUAUAUACUUAUAAGCCAGCCAGGAAUUUGGUAAGAUACCAAGACAUAAAUUUAUCAGCAUUUAUAUUUACUCUUCUAAAAUCGUUUAUUUAUUAUAUUUACAAUAGCUCGUGCCCACGUCACAUGGUGUUGCUAGUCCUUAACCAUGUAUGCAGAAGGGUGCUUUGCGACAAAUGCUCAUUUACAAUCAUUAAUUGAAUCGAUGUGCGUUCACUAAACUACUUCAACCACCAACAACGACGUGACACACAUAUCAUCCACAAGUUGUCACCUAGCUAAGAGAAAGAAAACAAAUACUACUCAGAAGUAACCAGUAUACAUCAUGCCAGAGGGGCCACAAUUGGCCUGAAUCAGGCUAGCUUACUGAACUAGGAGGGAAAGAAGUGUAAUAGAAAAUACCUGAAAGAACCCGCCUGUUCCGAAUCCCAGUCCGCGCCGCGAUCCAUUCAUCGGACGUUUCAACAAAUUUUGAAAGGUCGUCAUUUGAAAUACAAAGUGAUGGAGUGGCCGAUCCGCUUCCGAUGAGCUUUGAGCCCAUGCCAACCACCCUGCAAUUUCUCAUGGCCGUUAAGAAAUGUUCUACCACGGUAAAUCCUAAAUCAUGUUAACAAUAAUUGAGAUGAGUGAGCCCAGCAACACAGUUGGAUCAAGACACAAGCAACAGCAUUGUGGCACUGCCUACUGCACAGUGAGCUACAAAAAUAGCACCAUCUGCCGCAGCAUUUAUGAGCAAGCUGGGCAGAUCCCCAUCCAUGGUCAUGGAUUGGAGACCACGAGUAUUGCUGGGGUCUAGCGAGCUACCAUCUGCACGACGGCUAUGCAUGAGGGCGACCUAUUCUGGUGACACGCAGUAAGACUAGUGAGAACAAGCAUCGUGGCACCAUCGCUAUAGUACCAAAGAGCAGAAGCUUCUGAACGGUGAUGAGCAUCCGAUCUGGCUACAUAGAACUGCUUCGUUUCCAUCUUAAAACUCCCGUAUAAACCCGUAGCGGUACCGAAAGGAAGGCCCCAGAAUAACCAAAUUCUGCAGCGCGAGCCAACGCAGGCUAAUAAAUGCGAAAGUGGCGCAGAUAAGGGUGGUAGUUGAACCUCCUACCGGAAAGCCACUCACCGACUAACCAAAUCACAUAAGCGAGCACCUGAUUGAGACCAAAACCUGAGCGAAUUGAAACCAAAACCCGAGCCGAAUCACGGACAGAUCAAACUGAAAAUCACGCCCUACUAGUGAAAUCUCCUCGGAAUCAGACAAUGAGGUGCUGGGAGGAAGAUCCUCAGUAAACGAACAGCGCGAGGACAGCCUGAAUUCAUGUUAACAGAGAUUGGAGAAGCAGAGCACAAGCAAUGACUGAGUGAUUCACGUCUCGGCGCGUCGACAUUGCAGGUAGUGAGGCGCGUGAGCGGGGGCAGUGGCGCGGCGUUACCUGGGGAGGCGGGGCCUGGGCGCGGCCGGCGCGACCACGCUGUCGUCGACGGCGGAGGCGCAGCACCGCAGCUGCGCCGCCACGGAGGCCUUAGCGGCUGCGGCCACCGGAGGGGAUCGGAGGAAGCCGGGCCGGUGCCCUGCGCGCGCCCGCGCGCAGGGGAGCGCGGCCGCGGCCCGCGGCGGCGCGAUGCCGGAGGCGGCCACCAUGGCGCGGGCAGCCGGAGAUCUCGCUGCGGCGGCGGCGGCCCCGAGUAAGAGUGAGGGGAGAAUCAGUUGAAAAGGCUAAGAAGGAUGAGCACGGGUCGGCGGCGGGUGCGAGGGGGAGCGUGGCCGGGGGAGUGGAUAUAGGGGCGGCGGCGNNNNNNNNNNNNNNNNNNNNNNNNNNNNNNNNNNNNNNNNNNNNNNNNNNNNNNNNNNNNNNNNNNNNNNNNNNNNNNNNNNNNNNNNNNNNNNNNNNNNNNNNNNNNNNNNNNNNNNNNNNNNNNNNNNNNNNNNNNNNNNNNNNNNNNNNNNNNNNNNNNNNNNNNNNNNNNNNNNNNNNNNNNNNNNNNNNNNNNNNNNNNNNNNNNNNNNNNNNNNNNNNNNNNNNNNNNNNNNNNNNNNNNNNNNNNNNNNNNNNNNNNNNNNNNNNNNNNNNNNNNNNNNNNNNNNNNNNNNNNNNNNNNNNNNNNNNNNNNNNNNNNNNNNNNNNNNNNNNNNNNNNNNNNNNNNNNNNNNNNNNNNNNNNNNNNNNNNNNNNNNNNNNNNNNNNNNNNNNNNNNNNNNNNNNNNNNNNNNNNNNNNNNNNNNNNNNNNNNNNNNNNNNNNNNNNNNNNNNNNNNNNNNNNNNNNNNNNNNNNNNNGACUGACUCACCCACACCCUAUGCGGACUGGCCUCGCCUCGGGUUGGACGGACCGGUGGUACUGGUGGUGGAGCACCCCACGCCGUUUUCCCCUAGUUCUCGACGGAAACCGGCCUACCACAUCGUCGGGGAUACCAUCCAGCGGAAAGGGAAAGCGGUCUGCGGUCGACACGAUGCGGCGCGUACGCUCAUUUUGGGCGCGUGCGCGUCAGAGUACCGUGUGGUCGUAUCCAAGGACUCCGCCGUGGUACCGUGCAGCGCGGCGCCACGUGGCGGUCGGUCGCGGAUGUCAUUGCCCAGCUUCGGACGCAUCGGUCGCGAUCGUGCGUACAGCACCACCUUUGGCGCCGGGCCAGCAGCAACUGUAGCGUACUAGCGUUAACGCCUCCCUCCCUCACCCUCGGUCGCAUCGCUGGUCGCCGGUUAACCACAGGGCCUGUUUUUGCUCGCCAAGACCACAUCCACAUGGACCGUUGAUUCCUAGUACCGGUCGGUCAUCAGCGAACCACCAAACCGCUUUCACUACUACAGUACAAACUUCGACAUGUCGUGUUUUUUCCCGUUUUUUUCCCCUUUGCAAAGACUCUAUCCUCACAUUCUUUUCUUACACUAGAACUCCGGUACGUCACGCAAAUUGGAAUUUCAAUUGCACCGCACAAAUUCGCAGGAGCUUGUUGUGUGGAUUGAUCACACUGAUGCGAUGUUGGUUUCAUAAGAAUAUAAAACGCAGUUGGGUGCAAUUAAAUCAUUGUAAAUGUGAAUCACAACCGUCUAGACCAUUGGUAUCAAUAUCAAUCAACGGCUGAUAUCACGCCUCAAGCCUAGGAUUAAUAAUUUUCAAAAUCGAUACACUAUAUAGUAGUGUAGAUAUUUUGUCAAACUUUGAACCAUUUGACUUCACACAAACUUUAUCCGCCUUAUUGCCAAACACGGUUUUCAAGCAUAGAGAGAGUGAGGGCAUCGGUUAAGAAGGCUAGCUUCACUUGUCGGUCCGCAUAGUCAAUGUAGUAUAUGGCAUGCCACAUAUGAGUUGCACGCCUAUGUAAGGAUAUUGAUUGCUUCUUGAUUGAAGUCGGUACAUGAUGCUGGACUCCCUUUGAAGACAAUUAUCUCAUAAACGAAAAUAAAUGUAUUAAUUUGGAACCACAAAUGAGAGUCGUACCGUUUGAUAUCAUCCUAUUUGGAAAUAUUGUAUCCACACUAGAAGGUUAUACACCAACUGGGGGGGGGCAUCAUGGAGGUGGGAGAGUUGUGAGAUUCUCAAUUACUCGGUACAGGGAAGUAAACUCUUAAUAAUCUAGAACCAUAAAUGAGCAUUACACCGUUCAAACUAGAAAGGUUAUACACCAACGCGGGGUGAGAGUUGUGGAGGUAGAAAAGCUACUAUGAGAUUGUCAACUAUCCGGUAAAAAUGCCUUAAUUCGGACUAGAAUAAAAGCUACUAUGAGCUAAAAUAUUGUUGUCCUCGUUUUUGGGAAUAUUGUAUCCAAACUAGAAAGUUAUACACCAACGCUGGGUGAGAAUUAUGGAGGUAGAAGAGCUAUGAGGUUCUAUAGCGAUAUGUGAGAUCUUGUGUUGGUUGUCAUGGUAGCUCUUUGAAAUCAUUUAAAUAUGGAGAGAAAAAAGUUUGCAUUUCAAAGAUGAAGUUUCUUACUUCUAUGUCAACCCAAUGUGGCAAUAGUAUCGUGCCCUGCCUAACCAAAUAAAUCUCGCUGUCACAUAUGUACGAUGAGAAAACCUAACUUCGCUGUCUCAAGGAGAUGACAUGAAUCUAUGAGGGAUCCUUGCCUAAUCCUCUCAACGGAUGAACUUGAGGAGAAUCGAAAACUUGAAGACUGACUCGAAGAAACGGUGACAUUCGUCUCAGUGCCACCCCUGCAAGGACUACAACCCUAAACUAUCUACUAGCCGAAGAUGAGGCACCGAGAUUCUCCCCCCACCACCAACCGGCGAAGCGACAAGCAGAUAGGAUGCGAAUAUACAGGCUUGCUGAUGGAGAUGAAGGAUAGGAAGAUUUUGCCCUAGUCGCCUGGCGAGAGAGGAAACAAAGGCAAUGGAACGGUUUAACUCUCUUCCCCUAAACAAACGGGCGACCCUACGCGUCCGCCGGCAGAAAUUUAAAAAAGAUCCGCCGCCUCCCUAACCAUUGGAUGGACACAUUAAUGACCAUCCGAUCUAUCAAAAUAAGCAGCCAUACUUUGCAACAAUCUGCUUGUUGCAAUCACCUGAGCCUGUAUUUUUUUAUUUUUAUUUUGCAACAGAGAUCUUAUUGCAGAAUUUUUUCACAACGAAGAUCUUGUUGCAAAAAUUUUAGAGACCACCAUUGUUUGUACUUUUUAAUUUUCUGCAACAGAGCUCUUGCUUCGGAAUUUUUUCGCAACAAAGGUCUUGUUGCAGAAUUUUAAAAAUCUCACGACACGAGCAUGUAGUUUUUUGUUUUUACAACAGUGGCCCCGUUGCAAAAAAUUUAAAGAUCGAUUGCAACAGGGGACAUGUCCUUGAAUUUUUUUGUAACAGAGUUUAUGUUCCAAAAAUUAUUUUCGAAACGGAGCCCGUGAAAUUAAGGAGAUGAUGCCGCUCGCAGCAUCGAUGUCCCUGUAUUUUUUUGCAAUAAAGAUCUUAUUGCAAGAAUUUUUUCGCAACGGAUAUCUUGUUGCAGAAAUUUUAAAGAUCACCCUUGUCUAUAUUUUUUCAUUUUCUGCAACAGAGAUCUUGUUUCGGAAUUUCUUCGCAACAAAGGUCUUGCUGCAGAUCUUGAGGGGGUUCAGGUCCAGAUCCCGUAACACACCAACUGUUUGUAGGAUGUGAUGUGUGAUGCUAUGUGGUCCAAACAGCGCUAUGUGCUAUCCAUGCCACACGAUCAUCACGGAUUGAACGAUGUACGAGGCGGCCGACGCGUGAGAGUUAUCCGCCGGCUGAACCAAAACUUUUUCCUAAACAAAUGCAAGACUAUUUUUCUUGAGGGAACAAAUGCAAGACUAGUUUAGUUUGAUUUUAGCCAAUUUUUUCUUAAAUUUUAGCCAAAUCCUUUUUCUCAACGUAUUUGUCUCGACGAAUCUGAAGAUUUUACACCAUGUGAGCCCUUUUGCUGACCCCCCGGUAAUCUUCGUGGGGCUGACUGAUCGGACGCCCAGGAAUCGUUGACCCUCCACGUGUCCUCCAUCCGACCAUCAGUCCCCUCCCACCCAAUCCCCAAAUCCACACACCCUUUCCCUUCCCACGCAUCCAAACCCCAAACCCCCACCCGCACCGGCGUUCGCCGGAGAACCUCCCCGCCGGCCGCCGCCAUGCCGCCGCCUCUCCAGGCCCACCGCAUGCUCCUCUCCCACCGCCGCACAUCCCCUAUCCCCCGCCGCCGCUUCACCGCGGUCUCUUCCCUCUCCUCCGCCCCCGCCAAGACCCUGGCCCCGGGCCAGCCCGCCUCCUCCAUCCUCUCCAUCCGCGAGUCGCUCCUGUCCGGCGAGAGGACCGCCGCCGACAUCACCUCCGAGUACCUCUCCCGCCUCCGCCGCACCGAGCCGAGCCUGCGCAGCUUCAUCCACGUGGCCGACGCCGCCGCCGAGCGGGAGGCCGAGGAGCUCGACCGGAGGAUUUCCUCCGGCGGGCGGGAUGCGGUGGGGCCGCUCGCCGGGGUGCUCGUGGGCGUCAAGGACAACAUCUGCACCGCCAGCAUGCCAUCCACCGGCGGGUCGCGGAUACUGGACGGGUUCCAGCCCGCGUACGACGCCACGGCCGUGCGGCGGCUGCGCGAGGCGGGCGCCAUUGUGGUGGGGAAGACUAACCUCGACGAGUUCGGCAUGGGGAGCACCACCGAGGGCUCUGGGUUUCAGGUACGGAGGCUCACUGAUCAGAUCCUGUACACUGUUUUGUCCAAGUUCGUUUAAGUUUGCAUCAUCAGAAAAAAGUGCUAAGAAUGGUAGUAGAUGCGUAUUUAUGCUGGUCCGUAGAGGUCGAUAAAAUCAAAUUUGGUUAGUUUGUAUAUUGAAUUGCGAAUACAUGUUGCAAGUGUUUAGUUCGUUGAGGUCAAUCAAAUCAAACUUGGGACUCGGCGACUCAGUUCAUCUGUUGAAUAGCAAAUACAUGUUGCAAGUGUUUAUUGAUGUGAAUGGAACUUCUUGCUGCUUCCGACUUUCUUAAACAUAACCUCGAGUUUCCUCUGUUGCAUAAUAAUGCGGCCCUAUCAGAUGACAUAAAAUUAACGGAUAACACUGAUGGUAUGCAGGUGACAACAAACCCUUGGGAUGAUUCGCGCGUGCCUGGCGGAUCCUCAGGUGGUUCUGCUUCUGCGGUUUCUGCUAGACAGUGUGUGGUGUCCUUAGGGAGUGAUACAGGUGGAAGUGUGAGGCAACCGGCAUCGUUUUGUGGUGUGGUAGGGUUAAAGCCAACUUAUGGCCGGGUAUCUCGUUUCGGCCUCAUGGCUUAUGCUUCAUCACUGGAUGUUGUGGGAUGCUUUGGAUCAUCAGUUUUUGACACUGCAACCAUAUUGUCCGUCAUUGCUGGCCAUGACAAAAUGGAUUCAACCAGUAGCUCUCAUGUAAGGAAACUGAAACUUAACCUUAAUGUACAUCUUACAUUUUUUGUUUGUUUCAAUCUAGAUAUGUUUUCAUCUGAUUUAGCUGGCAAUCGCUUAUACUUUCCUUAGGUUCAUCGAGUUCAAUAACUAUGACUAAGAAACAGCCUUUUAGCAUGCAAGCAUGUAGUACGAAACAUGAAAGGAAGUCAUAUGGCUAUUAACUUGCCUGAGCGACCUUAUCUUGUGUUGACAACUGUCAUUCUUAAUGAGGAGGAUUCUCUCGUUGUACGUUUCCUUCUCAUGAAUCAUGAUUUUUGUGUGUCACUUGUUUGAUGCACUUAUGGUGUUGAACUGUUGCCGACCACUGUGAAAUGCUAUUGCCCAUUUACUUUGUGAGGGCAGAAGGACUACAUACUGCUGCGCAUCUCAACCAUAUAAAAUGCUAAUGCAAUUCACUAUGUGUAAGAAAACGUGCAAUGCACGCUCGUGGUGUUUCUUUGCAAGGCGUUAAAAUUCAACAUUUAUUUUUUGCUGGAUCCACAUCUAUGCAAGCGGAUCUGGAGCUAGUAGAUCUCGAAGCAAGACGGCAAUAAGCUUGGUUCAUCACUGCUCAAUCUGAUCUCUUGUAUCACUUUCUCAGGAUGUUCCAGACUAUAGAUCAGACUUGGCAUCUCUAAGUUUACUAGAAUCAAAACCAUUAAAUAGUGUGAGAAUUGGGAUUAUCCAAGAAACUCUUGGAGAGGGUGUGGAUGCUGGAGUCAUAUCAUCAAUCAGGGCUGCUGCUUCACAUCUGGAACAGCUGGGAUCAGUAGUGGAAGAGGUUUGUUGCUUCCCUUUUGCUGGAAAAAGAAUAAAAUAAAUAAAUAUGGAUAUUUUUUGUUGUCCUAUGAGGGAUUUCUGAAAGAUAAUAAUCACCGAACUAUUCUUUUCAAUACUUUUCAGGUUUCUAUGCCUUCAUUUUCUCUUGGCUUACCAGCAUAUUACAUACUGGCCUCUUCUGAAGCUUCAUCUAAUUUGUCACGCUAUGAUGGCAUCAGGUGGUACCUGAACCUUUCCUUUUCCAAUAAUUUUUUCCAUUCUAUAAAUAUUUAUCUUCUUGGAAAGUCAUUUUCAGGUAUGGGCAGCAGGUUUCAGCUGACGACUUGAAUGAGCUGUACGGAAAUUCCCGGGCUAAUGGUCUCGGUCAUGAGGUACAGUGCCUCCACCGGCCUAACCAAGAUCCUCCUCCCCACUUCUCAGUAUCUGUCCUUAUUGUGAAUAAAUGAACAUUAGUACUACAGAAAUGGAAGCAUAGAAAGCUAUCACACCUGUUUGUUGUGUAUGAGUUUAGAAAGCUGAUUUAACAUGCAUAAAUAAACUUCUGUUCUGUAACCCAACCAACUCUGCACAUGUCAAUCUCAUUGUAGGUGGCACCAUGCUAGUUGGAAUGCUAAUUGUAUUGAUAUUAUGUGUAACACGCCAGCGGAAUCUAUAAUCCCUAAGCAAGGAAAAAGGAUAAUAGUUCUGUAUACAACGUUGGGUAUUACUUAUAUAUUUUGUGUUUUAAGUGGACUACAGUAAUGGUUUGCGGUAAAUCACAUGAAGUAUAAUUUUGAUUGCUCUUUUCAGGUCAAAAUGAGAAUUUUGAUGGGAACUUAUGCAUUAUCUGCUGGAUACUAUGAUGCAUACUACAAGCGAGCACAACAGGUAACCAUAGGAAGGGAGCACCCAGUGCGAAUUUGCACUUUGAUUAUUUUUACCUCUUAACUGACAAAAUUUGCACUGUAGUAGGUGAGGACGCUGGUUAAGAAAAGCUUCGAAGAAGCUUUGGGAAAAUAUGAUAUUCUUAUUUCACCUGCUGCUCCAUCAGCAGCCUACAAGAUAGGUAUGGUAUUAUCUGCUCACCUGUAAUCCUGUCCUCCCUAAAAGAAGUAUGGUCCCUUCCCUGCUUUCCUUUCACAUUGAAAACGUGAGCCCUUUUGGCAGGCGAAAAGACAAAUGAUCCAUUAGCUAUGUACGCCGGAGACAUCAUGACGGUAAUAAACUCUUGAAUGCACUUUUUUUUUACAUAUAACCGCAGAAUUAUCUCUGUUUGCUCCAAAGUAAUAGUAACGUUGCCUGCUGCAUCGUGCGCCUUUUAGUUAUUGCAAAUAUAGUUUAACAUAUUGGUAAAACUGCCAGCUGAAAUUGAAUUCUUUCCACCGUUAUUUUGCGUGUUAAAAGUUACCAUGGUAAUGAGAUCUUAAAGAGCGCAGUGCAAAUCUGGUAUGGCUGAUGCAGGUGAAUGUUAACAUGGCUGGGCUUCCUGCAUUGGUUGUGCCUUGUGGAUUCGUCCAAGGUGGAUCUGCUGGUCUCCCAGUCGGACUUCAGAUGAUUGGAUCUCCCUUCAGUGAGGUAAAAUAUAUUGCUAUUGCCUCUCUGAACGGCAUAUCAUCAUUCCAGGACCAGUGUAGUUCCCCUUUCAGUUGUUUCUACCUAUUUUCUUAAAUCAAGUGAUUCAAUUGAUGACCAACGUUUUCAUAAUUUACAGGGGAAAUUGCUGGAAGUAGGCCACAUCUUCGAGCAAACGCUGCAGGAUCUCAGCUUUGUCCCACCACUGGUGGCAGAUAACUAGCGCCCUUCUCCUGUCUCGUUCAAGCGGUUCCUAGGGCUGCACGGGUCUUAGAGGGUCCCUCUUUUCAUUCGUUCCUGAAGUUUUGAGCUAUAUUUCAUUGUUGUAUGCCGAGGAAACCGGUUCUGCGCAAUGGGGGUGGUCGGUGGAGAUCUCUCCCUCGUGGGGGAGUUGUUGAGAAACAAAAUGAGACAGGUACAUGUGCUGUUUCUGCAAGCCAACUGCUGGAUGCAGUGCUCGCAUUCAGUGUCUGCCCACAUAGUAGAUGAUAAUUUUUUUGUAACCCUGGUUCACAUCAGUGAUAUUUUGCAAAUCCUUUUGAUUGAUUGACUGAUAAUAGUGCAAGCUGUUCAUGGCUUCAUGCCCACCGCGUUUUCGUGAUAAUCGGUGAUCUGUCUGCUCCUCUUUGAGAAAACAGUCAACUCUGGCAGUCUGUGCUUUCAACAGUCUUCUGAUCUGUAUGCGGUUGCUGAGCUGUGCUAUGAUUCGUUGUUGAAAAUGAUCAUCUAAUGAUAUUUUUGAGGUUUCAAAAAAAUCUGAAAAAAGUAUACACACAAUACAUAUUUCUUUGUUUUUGUAUUUACAUAUUUCUUUGUUUUUUUGUGCAUCUCACGCCAAAACGUAUCUCUUAAUGAAAUUUUACAAGAAUGCACCCCCUCUCGUUUGUUUAUUUUUGCUCCGCAUAUAAGAUUUGUUUGAAGUCAAACUACACGAAAAUUGAUCAUAUGUAUAUGAAAAGAAUAUCAACAUCUACAAUAGUAAAGUUAUAUAGGAUGAAAAUUAAUUUCAUAAUGCAUCUAAUGAUAUUGAUUUCAUAUUGCGAAAGUUGAUAUUUUUUCCUAUGUAGGUCAAACUCUACAAAGUGUAAGAAGCAGAGGGAGCAUACAUAUCUAAGGUGUGUGUAUGUUUUUUUCAAGUUAAAAAAAAAUCUCAUUUUCGUUUUAUUAAAGUUUGGGCUCCAUGAAGCUCAAGGGCAAGAAAUCGUCUCAGAAAAAGCAAGUCAAACGAACGCUAUAAAAUAGGCAAAAGCAGGUCCCAAAAAAAUUAAUGUCGAUCUUUUAAUUUACUUCACAUAAAUUCAGAAUUUUGUGUUUAUUUGGUUCCAAGCCGUAACGCAACAACUAAUUCCUCCAAGAAAAGCUGAGAAAGGAAUACAGUAGCUGCCAAAGAGAUACACACAACCAGAAAGAAAGAUACAGACCAGAGUGGAAGGUACAGAGCUGGUUCACAGCGAAGCGUGCCAAAAUACAGGUGCACAACGUCUGGAUAAUAAAUAUGCAACUAAAACUGAGCGUGCAGGGGAACGAAAUACGGUACAAAAGAAUUUUUACUACUGCACAUAGCCACUAGUUUCACCAUCAUUGUUUGGUUCCCAAAGUACAGAGAGAGAUUAUUUUGGGUCUUGGAUGGCCAUAAUUUUAGGCUGCACACAGCCUGAAACAAAAACCUCCGCCACUCUAUAUAAACAGAUUCAAUCCUGGAGCUCCAGCACCAGAACUUAUUGUUUCCACCGCUGCAAGGAGGAAAAACAAUACAACGUUAGAGAAAGAGAG